rnacentral:sRNA from 1 species
CAUAAAAAAAAGACCGAAUACGAUUCCUGUAUUCGGUCUAGGGAAAUGGCUCUAGGGUAGAGCCGUGCGCUAAAAGUUGGCAUUGACGCAGGCUCCGAGGAACCCACGCUUUAAGCGUAGACGAGGCAUUUCCCUUUUCCAGCUA